rnacentral:rRNA from 1 species
UACGUAGGUGGCAAGCGUUGUCCGGAUUUAUUGGGUUUAAAGGGUGCGUAGGCGGCCCUAUAAGUCAGUGGUGAAAUACUCCAGCUUAACUGGAGGGGUGCCAUUGAUACUGUAGGGCUUGAGUGAAGUCGAGGUAGGCGGAAUUGACGGUGUAGCGGUGAAAUGCUUAGAUAUCGUCAAGAACACCGAUAGUGCAGACAGCUUACUAGGCUUCAACUGACGCUGAGGCACGAAAGUGUGGGGAUCAAACAGG